AGUGUAAGGUUAUCAGUUCAGACACAUGAGUAGAUCUAGAGUAGUAUUUGUACAAACUCUUUUAAUUAACAUAAGUCGUUGUACUAAGAUUGUUGAAUACUGAGCACUAAUAUCUGACCGUGGUUAUCUUUCAUAGGUAAAUGUCCCACGUCGACUUCUGAGAGUGUCCCACAGAGAGAAAGGAAACAAGUUAACGAGGUGGAUGAAGAUGGAGAUUCUGACCUCUUCUCCCCCAAAAGGAGACUGGAGCCCCUCAGUGAGGAUGGGAGUACAGGUGUAGAUGAUCAGAGUCCAGGAAAAAGCCUGGUGCUGAGGCCCUCACAGAAGAAGAAAAGAUGUAAAAAGUCCAAAACAGUGGAAGCAAUGGUGCCACCCAUAGUAAAGGUGAAGAGACCAUGGAGUGAAGCAGAGAGGAGUGCGGUAAACAAACACAUGGCAAAGUUUAUUGCUGAGCGC